GAGGGUAUAGCUCAGUGGUACAGCGCAUGCUUAGCAUACAUGGGAUCCUGGGUUCAAUCCCCAGUACCUCCA
rnacentral:tRNA from 1 species